CGGGAUGUAGCACAGUUGGCUAGCGCGCCACGUUCGGGACGUGGAGGCCGUGGGUUCAAAUCCCACCACCCCGACCA
rnacentral:tRNA from 1 species